AUUGAACGCUAGCGGGAUGCCUUACACAUGCAAGUCGAACGGAGUGGCGAACGGGUGAGUAAUGUAUCGGAACGUGCCCAGUAGCGGGGGAUAACUACGCGAAAGCGUAGCUAAUACCGCAUACUAUUGGAGCGGCCGAUGUCGGAUUAGCUAGUUGGUGGGGUAACGGCCCACCAAGGCGACGAUCCGUAGCUGGUCUGAGAGGACGACCAGCCACACUGGAACUGAGACACGGCCCAGACUCCUACGGGAGGCAGCAGUGGGGAAUUUUGGACAAUGGGGGAAACCCUGAUCCAGCCAUCCCGCGUGUGCGAUGAAGGCCUUCGGGUUGUAAAGCACUUUUGGCAGGAAAGCGGUACCUAACCAGAAAGCAACGGCUAACUACGUGCCAGCAGCCGCGGUAAUUC
rnacentral:rRNA from 1 species